rnacentral:rRNA from 1 species
AGUCGAGCGGACAGAAGGGAGCUUGCUCCCGGAUGUUAGCGCGCGGACGGGUGAGUAACACGUGGGUAACCUGCCUGUAAGACUGUGGAUAACUCUCGCGGAAACCGCGAGCUAAUACCGGAUAGUUCCUAUGAACCGCAUGGUGUCAAGGAUGAAAGACGGUUUCUGGCUGAUCACUUACAGAUGGACCCGCGGCGCAUUAACUAGUUGGUGAGGUAACGGCUCACCAAGGCGACGAUGCGUAGCCGACCUGAGAGGGUGAUCGGCCACACUGGGACUGAAACACGGCCCAGACUCCUACGGGAGGCAGCAGUAGGGAAUCUUCCGCAAUGGACGAAAGUCUGACAGGAGACAACGCCGCGUGAGUGAUAGAAGAGUGUUUCGGAUCUGCUAAAGCUCUGUUGUUAGGGAAGAACAAGUGCAAGUAGUAACUGCUUGCACCUUGACAGGUACCUAACCAGAAAGCCACGGCUAACAUAUCGCUGCCACGCAGCCGCGGUAAUACGUAGGUGGCAAGCGUUGUCCGGAAUUAUUGGGCGUAAAGGGCUCGCAUAGCGGUUUCUUAAGUCUGAUAGUGAAAGCCCCCGGCUCAACCGGGGAGGGUCAUUGGAAACUGGGAAACUUGAGUGCGAGAAGAAGAGAGUGGAAUUCCACGUGUAGCGGUGAAAUGCGUAGAGAUGUGGAGGAACACCAGUGGCGAAGCGACUCUCUGGUCUGUAACUGACGCUGAAGAGCGAAAGCGUGGGGAGCGAACAGGAUUAGAUACCCUGGUAGUCCACGCCGUAAACGAUGAGUGCUAAGUGUUAAGGGGUUUCCGCCCCCUUAGUGCUGCAGCUAACGCAUUAAGCACUCCGCCUGGGGAGUACGGUCGCAAGACUGAAACUCAAGGAAUUGACGGGGGCCCGC